GUCGGCGGGAGGCAGCGGCGCGCUCCCUUCCCUCUCGGCCUCCCGCUCCGGCAGGUGUCUGGGCCUGCCUGACCGCGAAAGCGGAGCAACCCCCCUCCCCCUGCGGCUUUUUCGUAAUUAUUAUUAUUAUUUUAGCGUUGCGCAGCAGUUGGUUCUCUUCCCAGUUUCUCUCUCUCUCUCGGUGACCCCGUCGCAGCCUUUCUGGGGAGGAACCAGGGAGAAGAGAAGGGAGGUUAAGGGGGAAGGACGGGAUGAACGGCGCCGGCGCUUGCUACGGGGAGCGAGUCAGGCACAUCCAUAUAUGUGUGUGUGUGUGUGUGUGUGUGUGUGUACACACACAUAUAUUUGUAUAUAUUUAUACAUAUCCUUGUUCUCCCCCCCUUUACUCCCCCCCUUUCCCCUCUAUCAUUUUCAAUAAAAUAUUGAUAUUAUCCUUUCCCUUUUCUUUUCCCCCCUGAGAAGAUUGCUGAAGAGUUAUUUCCACCAUCCCAUUCCCCUUCAGAAAUGUAGAAAUCUAACUGCGGUUCUCACCAUGGGAAACCACUGGCAUGCACAAACAGGACUCGUAAGACUUCGGUAAAUGCUUGCACGAGUGUGGCUCAAAACACACCCACAACCCACAGCACAGUGAACCUGCUUUCUUCAAGGGAUGUGGUCCUACAAAGGCAGUCAACUUCCAUUUAAAACCAGUG